rnacentral:tRNA from 1 species
ACCUGACUGGCUCAGUCAGAAGAGCAUAUGACUCUCGAUCUUGGGGUCAUGCGUUCGAGCCCCAUGUUGGGUA